rnacentral:lncRNA from 1 species
CUGGCUACAUGGAGCGGGAUGCAGGCAGUUAAUUACCCAAUGUGAUUCUGGCCCUCCAUGUUCCCAUGAUUCCCAGACUCAGGGCUGCUGAGCCGCUCAAACAUGGAAGCAACGUGUUGGAUGAAUAUUCCUCUUCAGUGUUUUCAGUUGUACAGCGGAAGUCCCUUUCUUUCCACCCGCCCAGCACUUGCACGCCCGCACUGUGGGGGUUAUCACUGAAGUGUGGCAGACGGCACUCGGCAAUUCACAUG